rnacentral:rRNA from 1 species
UACAUGGGGUGCAAACGUUGCUCGGAAUUAUUGGGCGUAAAGAGCUCGUAGGCGGCUUGUCACGUCGGGUGUGAAAGCCCGGGGCUUAACCCCGGGUCUGCAUUCGAUACGGGCUAGCUAGAGUGUGGUAGGGGGAGAUCGGAAUUCCUGGUGUAGCGGUGAAAUGCGCAGAUAUCAGGAGGAACACCGGUGGGCGAAGGCGGAUCUCUGGGCCAUUACUGACGCUGGAGGAGCGAAAGCAUGGGGAGCGAACAGG